rnacentral:lncRNA from 1 species
CCUUCCUCCAGGAGGACACACCAGGGAGCCUUCCCUCCUGAAGCUUGUUCCCAAGUCAGGACAGGGCACUUGGUCACAGAUGACAGCCAAGAAGCUGGUUUCAGGUGACCAGCAUGGAGACAAAGAGCUUCAGCAGCCUUCCUGAAACUAUAAGACAAGUUGGAGAAAGGACGCCAGUGCUACGGAUGAUGGAACCGAGCAGUGGAUGAGCCGCCUGCCUUGUUGGCUCUCCCAGGACAAAUCACUUCCUGCCCGAGUACAACUGUGAGAACAGAACCGUUAGCUGUUUGAGAGCAAGUGAGCUUGGCUCCUUUGGGAGUCACUGAUAUUUAAUAAAUGUUGCUUUAUGUCCAGCUG